rnacentral:piRNA from 1 species
UUCAAAAGUGUCGGUUUACAGAAAGA